CUCCGCGUGCGGCUGGCGCUGGCGGGGGAGCGGGUGGACCGGGGGGCGGGGAUCAACGCGCACAUGGUGGUCGGGACGCCC
rnacentral:SRP_RNA from 12 species